AAUGCGGAGGAAAAGAAACCAACCGGGAUUGCCUUAGUAACGGCGAGUGAAGCGGCAAAAGCUCAAAUUUGAAAUCUGGUACCUUCGGUGCCCGAGUUGUAAUUUGGAGAGGGCAACUUUGGGGCCGUUCCUUGUCUAUGUUCCUUGGAACAGGACGUCAUAGAGGGUGAGAAUCCCGUGUGGCGAGGAGUGCGGUUCUUUGUAAAGUGCCUUCGAAGAGUCGAGUUGUUUGGGAAUGCAGCUCUAAGUGGGUGGUAAAUUCCAUCUAAAGCUAAAUAUUGGCGAGAGACCGAUAGCGAACAAGUACAGUGAUGGAAAGAUGAAAAGAACUUUGAAAAGAGAGUGAAAAAGUACGUGAAAUUGUUGAAAGGGAAGGGCAUUUGAUCAGACAUGGUGUUUUGUGCCCUCUGCUCCUUGUGGGUAGGGGAAUCUCGCAUUUCACUGGGCCAGCAUCAGUUUUGGUGGCAGGAUAAAUCCAUAGGAAUGUAGCUUGCCUCGGUAAGUAUUAUAGCCUGUGGGAAUACUGCCAGCUGGGACUGAGGACUGCGACGUAAGUCAAGGAUGCUGGCAUAAUGGUUAUAUGCCGCCCGUCUUGA
rnacentral:rRNA from 1 species